GUUUGAUCAUGGCUCAGAACGAACGCUGGCGGCAUGCUAACACAUGCAAGUCGAACGGGAUCCAGGCUUCGGCUGUGAGAGUGGCGGACGGGUGAGUAACGCGUGGGAACCUGCCCAAUGGUCUGGGAUAACCGCGGGAAACUGCGGCUAAUACCGGAUAAGCCCGAGAGGGAAAGAUUUAUCGCCGAUGGAGGGGCCCGCGUCCCGAUUAGGUAGUUGGUGGGGUAAUGGCCUACCAAGCCUACGAUCGGUAGCUGGUCUGAGAGGAUGAUCAGCCACACUGGGACUGAGAUACGGCCAGACUCCUACGGGAGGCAGCAGUGGGGAAUAUUGGACAAUGGGGGCAACCCUGAUCCAGCAAUGCCCGUGAUNAUGAAGGCCUUAGGGUUGUAAAGCUCUUUUGCAGGGACGAUGAUGACGGUUACUGGASAAUAAGCCCCCGCUAACUUCGUGCAGCA
rnacentral:rRNA from 1 species